rfam:Triticum aestivum genome assembly, contig: Triticum_aestivum_CS42_TGACv1_scaffold_500002_6BL
GACGUACUCCUUCCGUCCAGAAAUACUUGUUGAAAAAAUGCAUAAAAAUAGAUGUAUCUAGAACUAAAAAAUACAUCUAGAUACAUCCAUUCCUCCGAUAAGUAUUUUUGGACGAAGAGAGUACUAG